rnacentral:rRNA from 1 species
CAGUCGCCACGGGAAUACGAAGGGGGCUAGCGUUGCUCGGAAUUACUGGGCGUAAAGGGCGCGUAGGCGGACAGUUUAGUCAGAGGUGAAAGCCCAGGGCUCAACCUUGGAACUGCCUUUGAUACUGGCUGUCUUGAGUUCGGGAGAGGUGUGUGGAACGCCGAGUGUAGAGGUGAAAUUCGUUGAUAUUCGGCAGAACACCAGUGGCGAAGGCGACACACUGGCCCGAUACUGACGCUGAGGCGCGAAAGCGUGGGGAGCAAACAGGAUUAGAUACCCCAGUAGUCCCUGUCUCUUAUAC